GUGUGCAGAACCUUGGUCAGACUGAUGCGCGGCACAUCCUCUGCGUCACAAUGCAUUUACACAAGGAAAUCUUGCUAAUCUUCCUAUUGCUAGGACUGGCAUAUGGAAGCUCAGUGUCCGUGUACAACUAAGCAAGGCGUUCGGCGGCAGCAACGGGUUCCACCUGACCACUCCUCACGCUGCAUGAUCGGGAACCACAGCUGAAUCGUAUACGAAUACAUUCACAAGAGUUCUGCGGCUGGGAACGAAGUACUUGAAACUGGAUCCCAUGGCUUUACCUAACCAAGUCCUGGACUUCUCCCUUUUCGGCAGAGUUUUACUGCUUGAAGGAUCAGUGUCAGGCCUCAGCUCAAUCAGACAGACAGGCACAAACCUAAUUAGGGCAGAAAAUGGCACCUUCAGCGCUAGCAUAGACCUCGGCACCGAGCAACUGCACGUCAACUACACUGCCCUGAUAACGGCCGCCAAAUUUAGUCACUUGGUUGCGUAUUUGUCGGCCUUCGUUAGGAUGACCAGGAUGGCUCUUGUUAUCAGUGAGACAGAUGCUGGUGAACUUCAACUCAUUCGGUUUCAAUUAAUAAAUUUUGAUGGACUGGAAGUUACCCUUGAUGCUCUAAAGCAUGGUGACUAUCUGAUUAACGCCAUUAUACGGAAUGCUUUAAAAAUGUUCAGAAGCACUUUGAAGGCUAAAACUGAAGAAACAAUUGUGCGAGAAAUUCGAUCUUCUCUUAACUACCUGAACAAACUUUUGUCUUAAAGUGCUUUUCCUAAAAACAUACCUCUUCUAAUGUGAUAAUUGCUGACUGUUACAUUGGUUGAAUCAAUAAACAUAAGCCACAAGACCAAA